UUGGAGGGCAAGUCUGGUGCCAGCAGCCGCGGUAAUUCCAGCUCCAAUAGCGUAUAUUAAAGUUGUUGCAGUUAAAAAGCUCGUAGUUGAAUUUCGGGAUCAGCAGGUUGGUCGUGCCUCUGGUAUGCACUGGUUUCGCUGAUUCCUCCCUUCUGAAGAACUGUAAUGUCAUUAAUUUGGUGUUGCGGGAAAUCAGGACUGCUACUUUGAAAGAAUUAGAGUGUUUAAAGCAGGCUAACGCUUGAAUACAUUAGCAUGGAAUAAUGAAAUAGGACGUUAAUCCUAUUUUGUUGGUUUCUAGGAUCGACGUAAUGAUUAAUAGGGAUAGUUGGGGGCAUUAGUAUUCAAUUGUCAGAGGUGAAAUUCUUGGAUUUAUUGAAGACUAACUACUGCGAAAGCAUUUGCCAAGGAUGUUUUCAUUAAUCAAGAACGAAAGUUAGGGGAUCGAAGACGAUCAGAUACCGUCGUAGUCUUAACCAUAAACUAUGCCGACUAGGGAUCGGAUGAUGUUAUUUUUAAUGCCUCAUUCGGCGCCUUACGGGAAAC
rnacentral:rRNA from 1 species